CGCGCAGGCGGUGAUGUAAGUCUGAGGUGAAAACCCCGAAGCUCAACUUCGGGACUGCCUUGGAUACUGCGUCACUUGAGGAUAGGAGAGGCAAGGGGAAUUCCACGUGUAGCGGUGAAAUGUGUAGAGAUGUGGAGGAACACCUGUGGCGAAGGCGCCUUGCUGGCCUAUUUCUGACGCUGAGGCGCGAAAGCGGUGGGGAGCAAACA
rnacentral:rRNA from 1 species